rnacentral:rRNA from 1 species
UACGUAUGGUGCAAGCGUUGUCCGGAUUUACUGGGUGUAAAGGGCGUGCAGCCGGUGAGACAAGUCAGAUGUGAAAUCCACGGGCUCAACCCGUGAACUGCAUUUGAAACUGUUUCCCUUGAGUGUCGGAGAGGUAAUCGGAAUUCCUUGUGUAGCGGUGAAAUGCGUAGAUAUAAGGAAGAACACCAGUGGCGAAGGCGGAUUACUGGACGAUAACUGACGGUGAGGCGCGAAAGCGUGGGGAGCAAACAGG